rnacentral:pre_miRNA from 1 species
ACAACAUUCGGACUGUCGUUCUACCGAGCAAUAUCACCCGCUCGGUGGAAGAUCUCACCUUUGUCGU